AACGAACGCUGGCGGCAUGCCUAACACAUGCAAGUCGAACGAGACCUUCGGGUCUAGUGGCGCACGGGUGCGUAACGCGUGGGAAUCUGCCCUUGGGUUCGGAAUAACAGUGAGAAAUUACUGCUAAUACCGGAUGAUGUCUUCGGACCAAAGAUUUAUCGCCCAGGGAUGAGCCCGCGUAGGAUUAGGUGGUUGGUGGGGUAAUGGCCUACCAAGCCGACGAUCCUUAGCUGGUCUGAGAGGAUGAUCAGCCACACUGGGACUGAGACACGGCCCAGACUCCUACGGGAGGCAGCAGUGGGGAAUAUUGGACAAUGGGCGAAAGCCUGAUCCAGCAAUGCCGCGUGAGUGAUGAAGGCCUUAGGGUUGUAAAGCUCUUUUACCAGGGAUGAUAAUGACAGUACCUGGAGAAUAAGCUCCGGCUAACUCCGUGCCAGCCGCCGCGGUAAGAC
rnacentral:rRNA from 1 species